rnacentral:rRNA from 1 species
AACGAACGCUGGCGGCAGGCCUAACACAUGCAAGUCGAGCGCCCGCAAGGGAGCGGCAGACGGGUGAGUAACACGUGGGAACCUACCCUUUCCUACGGAAUAACACAGAGAAAUUUGUGCUAAUACCGUAUACGCCCUUCGGGGGAAAGAUUCAUCGGGGAAGGAUGGGCCCGCGUCCGAUUAGCUGGUUGGUGGGGUAAUGGCCUACCAAGGCGACGAUCGGUAGCUGGUCUGAGAGGAUGAUCAGCCACAUUGGGACUGAGACACGGCCCAAACUCCUACGGGAGGCAGCAGUGGGGAAUAUUGGACAAUGGGCGCAAGCCUGAUCCAGCCAUGCCGCGUGAGUGAUGAAGGCCUUAGGGUUGUAAAGCUCUUUCACCCACGACGAUAAUGACGGUAGUGGGAGAAGAAGCCCGGCUAACUUCGUGCCAGCAGCCGCGGUAAUAGUACUCAU